AUUGAACGCUGGCGGCAUGCCUUACACAUGCAAGUCGAACGGCAGCGCGGACUUCGGUCUGGCGGCGAGUGGCGAACGGGUGAGUAAUGCAUCGGAACGUACCUUUCAGUGGGGGAUAACGUAGCGAAAGUUACGCUAAUACCGCAUAUUCUGUGAGCAGGAAAGCAGGGGAUCGCAAGACCUUGCGCUGAUUGAGCGGCCGAUGUCAGAUUAGCUAGUUGGUGAGGUAAAGGCUCACCAAGGCGACGAUCUGUAGCGGGUCUGAGAGGAUGAUCCGCCACACUGGGACUGAGACACGGCCCAGACUCCUACGGGAGGCAGCAGUGGGGAAUUUUGGACAAUGGGGGCAACCCUGAUCCAGCCAUGCCGCGUGAGUGAAGAAGGCCUCCGGGUUGUAAAGCUCUUUCGGCCGGGAAGAAAUCGCAUGGGUUAAUACCCUGUGUGGAUGACGGUACCGGAAUAAGAAGCACCGGCUAACUACGUGCCAGCCGCCGCGGUAA
rnacentral:rRNA from 1 species